UACGUAGGGUGCAAGCGUUGUCCGGAAUUAUUGGGCGUAAAGAGCUCGUAGGCGGUCUGUCGCGUCGGAUGUGAAAACCCAGGGCUCAACCCUGGGCCUGCAUUCGAUACGGGCAGACUAGAGUUCGGUAGGGGAGACUGGAAUUCCUGGUGUAGCGGUGAAAUGCGCAGAUAUCAGGAGGAACACCGGUGGCGAAGGCGGCAUCCUGGACCAACACUGACGCUGAGGAGCGAAAGCCAGGGGAGCAAACGGG
rnacentral:rRNA from 1 species